rnacentral:rRNA from 4 species
UAAGGCAUUUACACUGAAAGUGCUCCACCCGUUCCCAUUCCGAACACGGAAGUGAAAUCUUUCAAGGCCGAUGGUACUAGCUUUGCGCUGGGAGAGUAGGUAGAUGCCCUAU